GCCAGGCGUGGUGGCCCACGGCUUUAAUCCUAGCACUCGGGAGGCAGAGGCAGGCGGAUCUCUGUGAAUUCAAAGCCAGCCUGGUCUACAUAGUGAGUUCCAGGACAGCUGGGGCUACAGGGAAACCCUGUCUCAAAAAGAUUAAAAAAAAAAAAAAAAAAGGUCUCCCUGUAGUCCUAGCUGACCUGUAAUUCACUAUAUAGACCAGUCUGGCCUUGAUCUUACAGAGAUUUGCCUGCUUUU
rnacentral:sRNA from 1 species